GUAGGUGAACCUGCGGAAGGAUCAUUACAUCGUUUUGUCGGGGGCCGGCUGGGUAUCGCGUAUCCACGCUCUAUCUGCCGGUUCUGUCUGCACAUUACCCCUGUUUUUUGCGUACCUAUUGUUUCCUCGGCAGGCUUGCCUGCCAGUAGGACCCUUUUAAACUCUUUGUAUUAGCAGUCAGCGUCAAAAAAACAUUAAUCGUUACAACUUUCAACAACGGAUCUCUUGGUUCUG
rnacentral:misc_RNA from 1 species